CUCCACUCCUUCACAAAAUCUUUGAAAACACAGUUCUUCAGGAAAGCAUAUAAAUUUAAACAGUUAGCGGUUUUUCUCCCCCAUGACUCCUCUCCUGCAACUGUCAAAAAUAACUAAAUAAGUUCUCAGUGUAUACUUUUCUAGCAACCUAUUUCAUUAUCCCCACUUAUACCCUUUGUGUCACUAUAUCCCACCACCUCUAGCAUGUAAGCUUAUUGAGCAGGGCCCUCAACCCCUCUGUUCCUGUGCGUCCAUUUGUCUGGUUACAAUUACGUGUCUGUUAGUCCACCCAUUGUACAGCGCUACAGAACUUGCUGGCACUAUACAAAUAAUAAUA